rnacentral:rRNA from 1 species
CAAUAGCGUAUAUUAAAGUUGUUGCGGUAAAAAAGCUCGUAGUUGGAUUUCCACCGAAGAUAGCCGGUCGGGUCUUCGACCUUGUAUCUGGUUUUGUCUUUGGUAUCCUCAUAGGGAACGUUUCUGCGCUUUAUUGCGUGGUGCGGUAUCUAUGACUUUUACUUUGAGGAAAUUAGAGUGUUCACGGCAGGCAAACGCCUUGAAUAUAUUAGCAUGGAAUAAUAACAUAGGAUCUUCGUCCUAUUUUGUUGGUUUCUAGGGCUAAGAUAAUGAUUAAUAGGGAUAAUUGGGGGCAUCUGUAUCAACGCGUCAGAGGUGGAAUUCUUGGAUUGCGUUGCGACAAACUACUGCGAAAGCAUUUGCCAAGGAUGUUUUCAUUGA